rnacentral:rRNA from 1 species
CGUACACUCCUACGGGAGGCAGCAGUGGGGAAUUUUGGACAAUGGGCGAAAGCCUGAUCCAGCCAUGCCGCGUGCAGGAUGAAGGCCUUCGGGUUGUAAACUGCUUUUGUACGGAACGAAACGGCCUUUUCUAAUAAAGAGGGCUAAUGACGGUACCGUAAGAAUAAGCACCGGCUAACUACGUGCCAGCAGCCGCGGUAAUACGUAGGGUGCAAGCGUUAAUCGGAAUUACUGGGCGUAAAGCGUGCGCAGGCGGUUAUGUAAGACAGUUGUGAAAUCCCCGGGCUCAACCUGGGAACUGCAUCUGUGACUGCAUAGCUAGAGUACGGUAGAGGGGGAUGGAAUUCCGCGUGUAGCAGUGAAAUGCGUAGAUAUGCGGUGGAACACCGAUGGCGAAGGCAAUCCCCUGGACCUGUACUGACGCUCAUGCACGAAAGCGUGGGGAGCAAACAGGAUUAGAAACCCGGGUAGUCCCAU